UUUCUAUCGGCGCUGGUUUGGAAUCCGUUGGGCCACGUAUUGUACUCCCGCUGCAGAUGGUGACCUGUGGAACCCAGAGGAGUACCUUCUUGUUGAUCGCCACGUGUUGGGAGCCGCUAGAGAACGUCACUACAGUAUUCUGCAUGUUAUUCACCAGUUAUUUUUCCUUUCACGUCUGUUAUGCUGAAAGAUUGUAGUCUACUUUGGAAUUCGUUCAAAGGGCACUUUUGGUAUUAACCCAGACCAUGGAAGCAAGGCUGAGAAAAAAAGCAAGGAAAGAGAACCCAAAAAUAUUCAGUUUGACGAAAAAAUCAUGGAUUCUGAAUGGAAUGUUUACGAGGCAUCAGAGAAAUGUAAUUGGAGAGUCUUUUAAGUAAAAAUUUGUAGUGAAUUAUUUAGCAAUUUGAAAUUUUGUGAUGAUAACGUUUUAUUUUUUGAAUCACGAGACAAC